rnacentral:rRNA from 1 species
AGAUUGAACGCUGGCGGCAGGCCUAACACAUGCAAGUCGAGCGGUAGAGAGGUGCUCGCAUCUCUUGAGAGCGGCGGACGGGUGAGUAAUGCCUAGGAAUCUGCCUAGUGGUGGGGGAUAACGUUCGGAAACGGACGCUAAUACCGCAUACGUCCUACGGGAGAAAGCGGGGGACCUUCGGGCCUCGCGCCAUUAGAUGAGCCUAGGUCGGAUUAGCUAGUUGGUGAGGUAAUGGCUCAACCGAAGGCGACGAUCCGUAACUGGUCUGAGAGGAUGACCAGUCACACUAGGAACUGAGACCACGGCCCAGACUCCGACGGGAGGCAGCGAGGUAGGGGAAUAGUUUGGAACGAAGUUGGGACGAAAGCCUAGAUCAGACAAGUGCCGCGUGAGUGAUGGAAGUCGUUAAGGUUGUAAGCUUACGUUUACCGGAU